rnacentral:lncRNA from 1 species
AAUAUUUAAAGCGGGCUCCACCCAAAAUAUACCCAAAUCCUAGUAUAAUUAGAAUUCCUACUCCAAUUAAUAUUUAAAUCUAUAUUUUAUUUAUCUCCAAUAUAUUUAAAUAUUUAUCAUAAUCUAAUUAGAUUUAUACUCUAAUUAAUAUUUAAAUCUUAAUUUAUCUNAAUAUACCCAAAUCCUAGUAUAAUUAGAAUUCCUACUCCAAUUAAUAUUUAAAUCUAUAUUUUAUUUAUCUCCAAUAUAUUUAAAUAUUUAUCAUAAUCUAAUUAGAUUUAUACUCUAAUUAAUAUUUAAAUCUUAAUUUAUCUCUAAUAGAUUUAAAUAUUAAUUCUUAUCCAACUAGAAAAUCAACUACAAAUCUAACUAAAUCCUAACACUUAUAUAAUGCACACUCAAAACAUACCCAAUCCUAGUACGAUUAGAUUUGUACU